rnacentral:rRNA from 1 species
GAUGAACGCUGGCGGCGUGCCUAAUACAUGCAAGUCGAGCGAAUGGAUUAAGAGCUUGCUCUUAUGAAGUUAGCGGCGGACGGGUGAGUAACACGUGGGUAACCUGCCCAUAAGACUGGGAUAACUCCGGGAAACCGGGGCUAAUACCGGAUAACAUUUUGAACCGCAUGGUUCGAAAUUGAAAGGCGGCUUCGGCUGUCACUUAUGGAUGGACCCGCGUCGCAUUAGCUAGUUGGUGAGGUAACGGCUCACCAAGGCAACGAUGCGUAGCCGACCUGAGAGGGUGAUCGGCCACACUGGGACUGAGACACGGCCCAGACUCCUACGGGAGACAGCAGUAGGGAAUCUUCCGCAAUGGACGAAAGUCUGACGGAGCAACGCCGCGUGAGUGAUGAAGGCUUUCGGGUCGUAAAACUCUGUUGUUAGGGAAGAACAGGUGCUAGUUGAAUAAGCUGGCACCUUGACGGUACCUAACCAGAAAGCCACGGCUAACUACGUGCCAGCAGCCGCCGUAA